UCCCUAAAAGACCAUCCCAGUUCGGAUCGCAGGCUGCAACCCGCCUGCGUGAAGUUGGAAUCGCUAGUAAUCGCGGAUCAGCAUGCCGCGGUGAAUACGUUCCCGGGCCUUGUACACACCGCCCGUCACACCAUGAGAGUCGGGAACACCCGAAGUCCGUAGCCUAACCGCAAGGGGGGCGCGGCCGAAGGUGGGUUCGAUAAUUGGGGUGAAGUCGUAACAAGGUAGC
rnacentral:rRNA from 1 species